rnacentral:rRNA from 1 species
GACGAACGCUGGCGGCGUGCUUAACACAUGCAAGUCGAACGGAAAGGCUCCAGCUUGCUGGAGUACUCGAGUGGCGAACGGGUGAGUAACACGUGGGUAAUCUGCCCUGCACUCUGGGAUAAGCCUGGGAAACUGGGUCUAAUACUGGAUAUGACCUUUCUCCUUAUGGGGUUUGGUGGAAAGUUUUUCGGUGUAGGAUGAGCCCGCGGCCUAUCAGCUUGUUGGUGGGGUGAUGGCCUACCAAGGCGGCGACGGGUAGCCGGCCUGAGAGGGUGAUCGGCCACAUUGGGACUGAGAUACGGCCCAGACUCCUACGGGAGGCAGCAGUGGGGAAUAUUGCACAAUGGGCGGAAGCCUGAUGCAGCGACGCCGCGUGAGGGAUGACGGCCUUCGGGUUGUAAACCUCUUUCAGCAGGGACGAAGCGUAAGUGACGGUACCUGCAGAAGAAGCACCGGCUAACUACGUG